GCGGCGGCGGCGGCGGCGGCCAUGGCCGGGGGGCGGCGGGCGCCGGGAGCGCUGGCGGAGCCGCGGCGGCUGAUGCGCACCGGGCUGGGGCUGAUCGUGCUGGGCCACGGCAGCCUCGUGCUGGGCGCCAUCGUGCACGGCUCGGUGCUGCGGCACGUGGCCGGCGCCCACCGCGCCGUCACCCCCGAGUACGCGGCGGCCAACGUGGUGUCGGUGUGCUCGGGGCUGCUGAGCAUCGCCGCGGGCAUCGUCGCCAUCCUGGUGUCGCACAACCUGUCCCGGGCGGUCCUGCACUGGACCCUGCUGGGCGUCUCUCUGCUGAACUGCCUGCUGUCCACUGCGUGCAGCGUGGGGCUGGCGCUGGCCUUUGCCCUGACGGUGCACAGCCGGGGCACACACCUGGUCAGGGGCUGCAACAGCUCCGCGCUGCCCCUGGACGCCCGUGCAGCCAUUGCGACCAACGACUGUCCCUUCAACACCACGCGCAUCUACGACACAGCCCUGGCCCUCUGGUUCUCCUCCCUGCUGCUGGCAGCUGUGGAAGCCGUGCUCUCGGGCAGGAGCUGCUUGGUGGCUCUGGUCUUCCAGGGCAUCGGACCCUGUGCACACACCUAUGGCAAAGAGCAGCCAGCCUAAGUGCCAGACCAGCACCCCUUCAUGGGGAGUUGCAGAAGGACCCUAUUCUUUAUCCCCCAGCUGGCCAGGCCAAGUACAGCAAUGGAGAAGCCACUCCGUGAGAGGCAGCAGCUCCUGCCAGGACUUGCUGAGUCUCCAGCGUAGCUGGAGAGGUGGUGCUGCAGGAGCGCUGUGAUCCAGCAAGGUUGGGGCCAAGGUGGUGUCACCCCUCCUGCAGUGGGCUGCAGGGGUGAGGGUGUGCCUUGUCCCCUCCCCCCAGCUCCUCCACCCCACCUGGGACAGACCCUGCAGGUCAGCAGGUGCCGUGGGCCCCAGAUGCUCUCCCAUCCUCGCCCCAAGCUGCCGGGCCCUUCCUGGUGGGCUGAAGGCUCUUGGUUUCUGUCAGCAGUGAUGACAGGGGGUGGGCAAAGGUGC